CAUGGUUGUCGUCAGCUCGUGUCGUGAGAUGUUGGUUAAGUCCCGCAACGAGCGCAACCCUUAUUGCUAGUUACCAUCAUUGAGUUGGGGACGUCUAGCGAGACUGCCAGUGAUAAACUGGAGGAAGGUGGGGAUGACGUCAAAUCAUCAUGCCCCUUAUGACCUGGGCUACAAACGUGAUACAAUGGCUGAAACAGAGGGAGGCGAAGGGGUGACCUGGAGCGAAACCCAGAAAAACAGUCUCAGUUCGGAUUGAAGUCUGCAACUCGACUUCAUGAAGUCGGAAUCGCUAGUAAUCGCGGAUCAGAACGCCGCGGUGAAUACGUUCUCGGGGUUU
rnacentral:rRNA from 1 species